CCGCCGCGGUGGGGCUGCCGGCUCCCCUUGGCUCCGGCCUGGGCCUCCCACCCGGGGCUGGUUCGCCUCAUCCCUCCGUGCUGGCUGUCACCCGUUUCCCGGUCAGGUCCUGCUCCGUCGGGGGGUGGGUGGGAGCCCGCCUCCAGCCCGUUCCCUGCAGGGAAGGCUGCGCCAGGCCCAGAAGCAGCCGGGUGUCUUGGCCACCCUGGAAAGGGGAUGUUGUUUUGGGGAAGGUGGAAGCUGGAAUCAAAACGAGGAAGAUGAUGCUGGGGUGUAGGCCAAAAGGGAAAGACUGUGGGAGAACGAGAAGGCGUUAGGGGAGCAGUGAGGUGAAAAGGAGGAUAAGGGAGGGUCACACUUGGUACUCGCUUUCCCAUUUAGCGUGGUGGUGAGAUCCCUGAUACAUAUAUAUAUAUAUGUAUAUGUAAAAUAGAGGAAUUCCUUUCUACUGCACUACAGUCAAGUACGGUAGUGAACUAUGUAUUCUUCACCAUGAAGCUGAUACACAGGAAGGCUGGGUUCAGUCAUAAUUGAGCUUUCAAAUUAUUCAUGUUGUACACCUUCUGACUAAAAUGUAUUUUCCUUGUUUCAAAGCUUUUGCAGGCAGAAAGCAGAUGCAUGUGUUGGCCUGUUAUUCUCUCUUGUAUUAGAGGCAUGUGAUCAGGAAAUUAGUAUAGGUGAAGUAAUUAGUCAUCAAGAACACGUUAUGUGAGACUUUCCACAUUGAAGUGUCACAUGUUAAUUGGGAAGUAACGGACACUAAGGAUAUCAUUUAUGUUCAUCUUCAAGUAAGUAGUCAUGGCCUUAGAAGCUUUCUUGUGAAUGGUCUAACAGUUACGCUUUGCUGGAAUAUCAGUGAGUUGCUGUGGAGUCAGUAACAGGCUAAAAAUAUUUGUAGAGUACAGUGUUUCUUCAUAAGAGUACAAUAUCCAAAUGGUAUGAGCUAUGGAAAGUAUCUGGGAAGUUUGUAAUCUUGUAACUAGAUCAAAUAUUUAAGUUGGAAAACUAAUUUAAUGGGAACAUAAAAUCCAACUUCCAAACCCACAUGAUUUUUCAAAUAGCUUUUAAGCCUGUUGUGCAUAGGACAAGGUGACUUGCUAGUGAUGAUACCUGGGAAACUUGUAAUUUUAUUUUAGUAUACAUUAAAUUUAUGGGUAUUGAUUUGGUGACAGAGGAAGACAGUUCUACUAUGAAGAGUGCAGUGCCCUGCAAAAUGUGGGAAACUACAUGGAGAAGUGGAAACAGCAUGUUUAUGUGGACACUUAAUGUGUUACACUCAAAGCUGGAACAGGACAGAAAAUGUUUCUUCAACUGUCAAACCUCUGAGGAUCCCCCUGAAGAAGGUCCAGGCUGGUCCAGGCCUUUGGGGCACCAGUCCUCUUUGAGGAGGAUUGAACGUACUGUUCUCAUUUCUAAAAUAAUUUUGUGACAAAUAGCUCCUUUUCCAGGACUUCAUAAAGAGCGCAAGUGCUGUUACACAGUCAGGAUUAAAAAGUUCCUGUGCAUCAUAAGCCACAUCAAGUUUGUUCUUAGUCUGUGACAAGAAAUAUUUAAAAUGCAUUGGCUUUGAUCUUUGGAGUUAGGAAAAAAUACUGCUUAGACAAUUUUGUAGGGCUCUGUAUAUUUGACGAAAGUUGUUACACAGGUAUACACACUCUCUAGGAUUCAGUGAGGUCAAAGCAAAUGUGUUAUCUCUUACUGUAAGUAAGAAAGAGGCUGAUGUCAAUUACAAUGGUUGGACUGUAGCAUGGUAGUAUUUUACAUGACGGUAGCUCUUUAGUUUGAAAUACAAGUUGUGAGAUUUUAAAAUAGAUAACUGUAGGGGUAGUUCCUUUUUAUAUCCUCAUGUGCAUAGCAAAAAUUAAAACCCGAACUUCAGGUUGUGUUCAGCUGAUCAGUAGACAUUGCACUGAUGAAAUGUGCAUCUUCUGCAGCAUAGACUGUUUCAGCAUCCUUCAAAGAUUUUGCUUUAUUACAUAGAGUGGCUGCAGACAGCAUAGGACUGUUCCAUUUUCUAGCUCACCUAGCUGAAGAGGGCUGUAAACCUUCUGCUGUUAAGAUGCUGGGCGUUGAUUCAGUGCUUCCCAGGCAAUGGUCAUGGAUGUUUGCUAAUUUUCAGGUGGUGUUACAAAAUCAGAAUAGUAUAUUAGAGGAAGUAGCUGCAAAAAUUCUUCCUCCUUUUUCUACAGUGCUUCCAUUGUUCAUUGUAUCUAUUAAAUGUUGCUCCAGUAUUGAAUGUAGUUGUUAGCCAACAUUUGUGUGUCUCAAGAUAAGAGUCUAAGCUUAAGGCACACACUCCGUCCUAUUCAGAAGAGCAUAUUAGUUUAAAACAAACAGCAGUGUGCUUUGGUGGCAAGGAUAUUAGCUGUUGAUCUCAGCUCGACAAGAAUUACUCUAUGAAAGAAAUGUCUCUGGAAAGGAGGUACUGUGGUUGUUAAAUAAAAAUGUCAUGGAAAGAAACGAAAGCAUGAUUAUUGCUUUGACUUCUGAUUUAGUUAAGCUUUUUGCAGAAGGUUAAUUUCUGUUGUAUGUGUUGGUUCUUGUCUUUUGGAAUUUAAUCAUACGGAAAUCCUGCCAUCAUUUUGUCCCCUCAUCUUUUUGGGCAGCCUCUCCUGGUAGAUAGGAGAUAGUAAGAUAUAUUCCUUUCCAAUUCCUCCGCAGUUACCAUCACAAGUAAGUGUAUCUGAUAUUUUACUGACGCAUUGAGGAUGUGUUUGUAGUGCAGGAUGCUCCAAAUGGUUGUCACCUUGGUUGAGACGUGGGUUUCUCAAUACAGCUUUUCAACAGACCUACUGCAUUCUUGCUUAAUGGUUAUGUGUUCAUCCUGUAUUGCUGGGACUCUUAAGCGCAUACCCCAAGGCUUGUUGUGAGGUAAAUGGAGCACCAGAGCUCUUUUCCAAUAAAUUUUAAGUGUCUUCCUCAGCUCACUGGAGGAACUGAGGGGGUACUGGAGGCUGCCCGGCACUUUAGCUCACAUCCUUGCUGCACGGUGCUUAAUUACCUGUCAGAGGCCAUUUUCAUUUUAGUUUCUCAUCUGUAUCCAAAGCUGACCCAUUUAUUUGAGUUUAAAACACUGAAACUGAAGUGAUGGUCUUCUGUAAGGUUGAGAGGUAAGGGAUAGGAGUUAGUUAACGCAGUCACUUUUCUGUGCAGACAUACUCUAUUUUCCAGUCUUCCGGGGAAAAUUGGAGCUGCAUCAUCCUUCUGCGAAGUAAACGCUAGUGUGGAAGGAAUGAGGUAGCAUAACAGCAUUAGAUCUUUUCCUAGUUUGACGUGUUGUGUUUACUUUCCAACACUGUACAGAUGCUCUAAUCCCUGGGGUGUUUCCCAGUGUCAGUUCAAAGUUUGAGGGAAAGCCAAACCUGCAAGAAAGACUUGAUCCUCUUCCAUUCUCCCUUGACCUUCACUUCUAACAUCUCAUUCUCUCUUUCAUUUGGAAGAUGAAUCUUCUUGGUAUUAAAAGCAGUGAGUCUUUCACCUGUUAUUAGGUGGUUUUGUCCCAUAUGGAGUAACUUCUCCCACUUUGUGCCUACUUUUUAUGGAUGUGCUACACAGCAGGCUCAAGGGGGAAGUGGCUUGUACCAAAGAUUGUUAAAAGUAGAACAGAUUUUUUUCCUAGAUAUUCCAAACUGAGAAAUUAUUUCUGUUUAGGGGUGUUCUCCUGAAUGUGAAAUAAAGGAAGGGCUCAUCCUUUUAUGCUGUCUGGCUCUUGCACAGCAUUUUGCAUUUGCAGUUAGGAAGUUUGUUGGUCCCAACAAGGAAGCUAUUGUCAGAUGCUGUGGUGAGGGGUUCCUUUGUAAAACUGAGAUGAUAAAAUAACAGAAACAGAGAUGUUAAAUGAGUGGUGCUUUGUCCUGUUCAGACCAUAGCCCUCUGUGUUUCGAGUGCCUUUGAUUUACUGGAGGGCACUUAAGGAGGGAGAAGGGGUUAAAAAAAGUCCUGCACAAAAAGUCUGCGCACUUCUCUCAUAACUUGAGAAAAUUGCCUCCCUCUUCUUUCAGAGAGUCUGCUGCUUGUGUGCCAGGAUUAGCACUUCGCAGUUUUGGUCAUUGAUACUUUCAGGAAAAAGCCUGUUAAAAAAUUCACAUUUUCUUGUGUGUUGUGUUUGGUGAUAAGUAUCUUGUUGCUGGUUUACAUUUAAGAUGUUGUUUUGUACAGAAGCAAGUUGGGGGAGCGAAAGGAGCAAUCGGUGUUUCUGGUUGGAAAAAAUAAAAAUUAAUUUCAGUUGAUAAUAUAAUGCGAAAUGAGAGGCGUGUUGAGUGUUCGUGCUGUGAAAUACGUAUUUCACUGCUUAGAAGGAUCAGGCUUACCAAACUGGCAGCGUGUCCUCAUUUCUUACUGACUGUUAACCAAAGACAGUGGACUUGUAUUGUUAAAAAAACCUGUUCCCCUAAAUAUAGGGCUGCUGUGGUCGACUGCACACUUCCAGCUACUUCUCUGACGUGUUUUCAGAUGAAAUCAUGGCGUAAGGAGUUUUGAGGCAUCUUUUAACAUCACAAAGGUCUUUUGGGUGCAGCCUGUCAUCAGCAAGGCUGAAGACAAUCUAAUGCUGGGUUUUCUGAUGGCUUGGCCUGUAGCCACUAUUGCAGUAUUAGUGUCAAAUGGUAAAGGAUAUGGGAUGGAACAUAAUAGGGGAAUUUUGAGGAAUGCUAAAAAGCUCGUUGGUGCCCAAGACUGAACAAACAGCCCAACUGCUAGGCAAUGUGCAGUUCAUUGAUGACAGACAGCUCUUUCAGUCACUGAUGCUCGAUCAGUUACUGCUUGUCAUAUGUGUGUUAAUAUCUUUGAAGGGAGCUCAUUAUUCCACCCACUUUCAAGUGGAUCUAGAGUUGCUAUUGUUAAUUCUUUGAGCGUGUGAAUCACUGGAAAAGACAAAGUCGGAAGUAGAAACAAUACACAAAAGAGGGUUGGAUAAGGACCUCACACCAAUUGGUAAAAAAGCAGACUAGUAGUGGCUUCCAAGGUAGCAAGGCCCAGUGUAACAGUGUCCCUGCCUUACCUGCUGUGUCACGGAAGACAAAGGGCCCAGAGGAGCUGUGGAACAUGAGCCAAGACGUGGGCUUUUUCUUGUGUGAUUACAAGCAGAGAGCAGCUGAGGCUUUGCAUUAGUGCUGCCUUUCAUUAGCUUUUUGCUUUCUCCUGUGUUAAAUAUUACUUAAUUGACUGUGGCAUAAGUGGGGCUAAUAGCUUUGUUCCAAGUCCAGAUCCUUUUGUAGCUCUCUCUUUUGAGGAUUUGAAAUGCUCCAGACAGAUCGCUUUCUCACACGUGUAAGUAAAAAUUCUGCCUAGGCAGGUCCAGGGGAGAGGAAGAGCUUCUGGUCCCUUGUCCUAAGAAAUGGAGUGGCCCGUACACUGCACCUUUUGCAAGGCCAGUGGAAGAACAGCCAGAAAAAUCAAAGUAGAAUAAAGAUACUAACUACAUUUCUGUGCUGUGGUCGUCUUCAGAGAGUUGUUUAUUUGAUGCUUUUUGAUGCAGCUCUCUUGGUCCCAGUGCUAAGUGCAGAAAAUGGGGCCUUUUGUGAUUUCCUCUAAUGUCGUCAGUGUCCACAAAAGUGACUGAAAAACCUCUUCCUCUAUGAUGUGGGUUAGUGAAUAUAUUUGGUGCACUGAGAGUACCUUUAGGUUUUUCCCUUAGAAGUGUUCUUUGAUAGCAUUGAUAGUUCUUGUGUGAUGCGAAGAGCAGCAAGGGAGGACCUGCAUCAGAAAGACCAAGUCAUGAGACCGGUUACAAAGCAGCAUUGUGUUCCUUAGGUUAUUAAAAAAAACAUGUUCAUUCAUGCUGAAAAACAGAAAUGCUUCAUAAUCUAAAGGGGAGUCUGCUUAAAUCUAGGUGGCAGGAAGUGUAAAGAUAUUUGGGUAAGGUAAAAGGUGCAGAAAAUAACAUGGUUAGUGGUAGUGUUAGUAGCUCAUAAAGGUAGUUGAGUGCUUUUUUAAAGAAGCAGCAUAUGUUCAAAAUAACUGACAAUACUUACGAGUCCUAUUGAAUACUGAAGUGUAACUGAGCAUGAAAAAACGUUUGGUUCAUACCGGCUUACCUCCUCAGUCACUGGCCAGUAGGCUGAUCAAACGGAGUUUGUAGACUAUGUGGUUGAGUGCUGGCUUUUGUAUUAGCUGUUUCCUUUUUACUGUUGUUUAUUUUAUGACCUAGGUGUUCAAACCUGUUAGCUUUCGCUGAGAGAUUUCUAUGUUAAAAGGUGUAUAAAGGGAAGUAGACAUCAAUGUGGGUAUGUUGAAACUUUCUUCCGGUGGGCUCAAUCUUCAUGGCAAAUUCAGGCUGGAUAAAAUAUAUCACUUCUAGCUAUCGCGGUGUGACUAAUCUUUAGCCUUGAGGAAUGUAAGUUUGUUUAAAGCAAGUGGUAUGACUGUACAGCAGGGAGUAGGUGAACAAAUUUAAUUACACAAAUAUUUGUACUGAAUUUAAGAAGUCAGCAGUGGCCACAAACCAUCUUUCAAUUCAUUGUCCUUACUUUUCUGUAACUGAGAAGAACUCAUAGCUUUGCAUAAAUCAGAGUUACAUCUUUGUAAUAUUUUCAGUGUGACAUGGUUUUAUAGUAUCGAUACCUCAUUAAGCAUCUCUCUUUGUGAUGUUUCCCUCUGAACUAUUUCCAGUCAGCUGAGUCUCAGAAACAAUAGCUACUUUAGUUCCUUAGAAGGAAGUGACCAUUUCCUAUAUGUACAACAAAACGUGUGCUUGUAAUGAACCCUACCUUUAUCAAAGCCUGAAAUUAUGCUCAGAAAUAUGUCUGGAACUAGCAAAUUGAAAAAUCUGUUGUAAAAGUACUUGCACAGCUUUUUGCAUAGUAAUGUAAAAAUAAAAGUUUGAGUACAUCUUUUGUUUGCAGGGAUAAGCA